GUGAAAACUCACAGCUUAACUGUGGGCGUGCGGGCGAUACGGGCAGACUAGAGUACUGCAGGGGAGACUGGAAUUCCUGGUGUAGCGGUGGAAUGCGCAGAUAUCAGGAGGAACACCAGUGGUGAAGGCGGGUCUCUGGGCAGUAACUGACGCUGAGGAGCGAAAGCGUGGGGAGCGAACAGGAUUAGAUACCCUGGUAGUCCACGCCGUAAACGGUGGGUACUAGGUGUGGGUUUCCUUCCUUGGGAUCCGUGCCGUAGCUAACGCAUUAAGUACCCCGCCUGGGGAGUACGGCCGCAAGGCUAAAACUCAAAGGAAUUGACGGGGGCCCGCACAAGCGGCGGAGCAUGUGGAUUAAUUCGAUGCAACGCGAAGAACCUUACCUGGGUUUGACAUGCACAGGACGCCGGCAGAGAUGUCGGUUCCCUUGUGG
rnacentral:rRNA from 1 species